GACGUAGGGGGCCAGCGUUGUUCGGAAUUACUGGGUGUAAAGGGUUCGUAGGCGGUGCGGCAAGUUGGGAGUGAAAUCUCUGGGCUUAACCCAGAGGCUGCUUCCGAAACUGCUGUGCUUGAGUGUGGGAGAGGCGCGUGGAAUUGCAGGUGUAGCGGUGAAAUGCGUAGAUAUCUGCAGGAACACCCGUGGCGAAAGCGGCGCGCUGGACCACUACUGACGCUGAGGAACGAAAGCUAGGGGAGCAAACAGGAUUAGAUACCCUGGUAGUCCUAGCCCUAAACGAUCAGGACUUGGGGUGCCACCCGUUCGGGUGUCGUCCCGGAGCUAACGCGUUAAGUCCUGCACCUGGGGAGUACGGUCGCAAGACUGAA
rnacentral:rRNA from 1 species